AUACGGAGGGUGCAAGCGUCAAUCGGAAUUACUGGGCGUAAAGCGUACGUAGGCGGUUAUUUAAGUCAGAUGUGAAAGCCCCGGGCUUAACUUGGGAACUGCAUUUGAAACUGGGUAACUAGAGUUUAGUAGAGGGGAGUGGAAUUUCAGGUGUAGCGGUGAAAUGCGUAGAGAUCUGAAGGAACACCAGUGGCGAAGGCGACUCCCUGGACUAAAACUGACGCUGAGGUACGAAAGCGUGGGUAGCAAACAGGAUUAGAAACCCUAGUAGUCC
rnacentral:rRNA from 1 species